CUGGAUCUGAAGCGUAAUGAAUGAUGGUCUUCAGAAGGCCUCUCAUGGUGGCCUUGAUUCAGAGGUUUGAGAAGACUACCAAGCACCAGAGCCAGCUAACAGGUGGACCAAACAUCAAGCCAGAAUUCUGCAUGAGUCAGAAUCUUUUGAUAAUAUUGCCCAAUGCAACAAAUGGAAAAAGCAUGCUUUAUGACAACCUCAGCAGCAGAACCCAUGACUUUCUCCUUGGUAGACGAGACAAAAAAGUUUGGUAUCAACACCAAUCUAACAAUUAAGGUAAAAGAUAAAGUUUUAUGAUCCCUGCAUUCAGGUUAGAGUAUGGGGUAAGUUGACCGUUCUAUGGGUGUUCCUCAAAUGCAAGGUUGCAUGUGGAGGCUGCGUCCAUCUUAGUCCUGGCCUUCUGAGAUUUCGAUGUUAGAAAAAAGCCAAAAUGAGAUGGUUUAGUUUGAUGUCCAAGGCAACGUAAUAAUGGUUUCCGCCCCAGUGAUCAUGGCAUGAAAACUUUAAAGAGAGAAGUUGAAAAUUAGCAAUGCAUCACCAAAAAAAUCCAAUAAUGUAGUACAGUGAAUAAAAGUCAUGUAUCAACUGUCUUUACAACAUGGACAGUUAAACAUUUUGUAAUUAAAUUAAAACAACAAAAUAGAAAACAAGCAGAUUGAUAUGUCCUUCGACGAUGCUUGAUGACGUGGCAGCCGAGACAUGCAGCCUUCUAGGACGGAGCCUUAUUAAAAAAAAAAAAAAAAAAAAAAAAGGACGGAGCCUUAUUUAAAAAAAAAGAAAAAAGGACGGAGCCUUAUUUAUUUUAUUUUUAUAUAUGUAUAAUGUCCCCCUUUGUAUUUCUUAUUAUUUAAAAAAAAUAUUAAAAAUAAUUUUAAAAGGACGCAGCUGUGCGUUUGAGAAACGACCGGAAACGACUUAUAUGUCGCGAGGCCAUCACGUGACCACAAUAUUUACCAGAAGACCGUUAUUUGCUCGAGUACCCUCAACUUUUUUGUCGCAAAUAACAUUAUUAAUAACCUGUAAAUAAUACAUUUUGUACACAUUACGUUCCUCUUCACUUUGUAAUAGUAUGUUUUUUGGUUUAAUAGUCGGCUUUAAGUUAGUUUUUCUGUCAGUUUGAUCGUCAAAAUCUUGAAAGUUAUCUGCAGCCACACAUCCACUGUAUACCAAGUUAUGAUGAACAAUUAUGAAAAUGCAAAAGGAUUGAUAGAUCAGUAAACAAGCAACAAAAAGAUGGGUGCUCAUGGUGGCCUCCAAAUAAAUACAUGGACAGGCUGCUAAAGAGGGUCAGGAUGAUGGAGAUGCAAGAGCCAAAGACAGCACAGACCAAACACCAGGCCAGAAUUCUGCAUGAGUCAGAUUGAGUAAUUUUCACUCUAGAGACCCUUGGGUGACCACCAAGGACGAAUGCAAACUCCAGUGAGUGUCUCUAAGGUAGAUCCUAAUGCAGAUGGAUGGAAUGUUGAUCCGCCUAACAUGCAAGCUACAGAGGGCAUCCUUUAUUCAGUCCCUAAUGCAGAUGGUUGGAGUGUUGAUCUACCUAACAUGAGGGGUAAAAGAGCGUUUGUUAGCAUAAUGAGAAAGAAAACAGAAACACAUUAUUAGUGGCAUUUAAAAACAUAACACUUGUUUAUACUACAUUUUAUGUUCAAUCCAUAGAGCACUCGUUUUGAGUCCUGAGACCCUGGGGUGACCACCGUGAACAAAUACAGAAGCACUCAAUUUGAGUCCUGAGACCCUGGGGUGACCACCGUGAACAAAUACAGACUGCAAUAGCAGUCUUGACGGUACUAGGAUGAAUGCAAAUAAAGACUAACCACCUGACAUCAGCUGUCCAGUCGGAAGCAGGUGCUUGUUACCCCAAAUACGGAUGAAGAGUGACGAAGAGGAUGAUGACUUUUUGCUCA